GCUACAGGCUUAACACAUGCAAGUCGAGGGGCAUCAGGGAGAUAGCUUGCUAUCUUUGCUGGCGACCGGCGCACGGGUGAGUAACGCGUAUCCAACCUGCCCCGUACUCAGGGAUAGCCCGUUGAAAGACGGAUUAAUACCUGAUGUUCUCCUUUCUUGGCAUCUUGAUUGGAGCAAAGAUUGAUCGGUACGGGCUGGGGAUGCGUCUGAUUAGCUUGCCGGCGGGGUAACGGCCCACCGGGGCAACGAUCAGUAGGGGUUCUGAGAGGAAGGUCCCCCACAUUGGAACUGAGACACGGUCCAAACUCCUACGGGAGGCAGCAGUGAGGAAUAUUGGUCAAUGGAGGCAACUCUGAACCAGCCAAGUAGCGUGCAGGAUGACGGCCCUAUGGGUUGUAAACUGCUUUUAUGCGGGGAUAAAGGAGCCUACGUGUAGGUUUUUGCAGGUACCGCAUGAAUAAGGACCGGCUAAUUCCGUGCCAGCAGCCGCGGUAAUACGGAAGGUCCGGGCGUUAUCCGGAUUUAUUGGGUUUAAAGGGAGCGUAGACGGGAUGUUAAGUCAGUUGUGAAAGGCUGCGGCUCAACCGCAGCACUGCAGUUGAUACUGGCGUCCUUGAGUGCGGUUGAGGUAUGUGGAAUUCGUGGUGUAGCGGUGAAAUGCUUAGAUAUCACGAAGAACUCCGAUUGCGAAGGCAGCAUACUAAGCCGCUACUGACGUUGAGGCUCGAAAGUGUGGGUAUCAAACAGGAUUAGAUACCCUGGUAGUCCACACGGUAAACGAUGAAUACUCGCUGUUGGCGAUACAAUGUCAGCGGCCAAGCGAAAGCAUUAAGUAUUCCACCUGGGGAGUACGCCGGCAACGGUGAAACUCAAAGGAAUUGACGGGGGCCCGCACAAGCGGAGGAACAUGUGGUUUAAUUCGAUGAUACGCGAGGAACCUUACCCGGGCUUAAAUUGCAGAGGACAGGCGCAGAGAUGUGCUCUUCUUCGGACCUCUGUGAAGGUGCUGCAUGGUUGUCGUCAGCUCGUGCCGUGAGGUGUCGGCUUAAGUGCCAUAACGAGCGCAACCCUUGCCAAUAGUUACCAUCAGGUCAUGCUGGGGACUCUAUUGGGACUGCCAUCGUAAGAUGUGAGGAAGGUGGGGAUGACGUCAAAUCAGCACGGCCCUUACGUCCGGGGCUACACACGUGUUACAAUGGGUGGUACAGAGAGUCGGACGCCGGCAACGUCGUCCUAAUCCUUAAAGCCGUCCUCAGUUCGGAUUGGGGUCUGCAACCCGACCCCAUGAAGCUGGAUUCGCUAGUAAUCGCGCAUCAGCCAUGGCGCGGUGAAUACGUUCCCGGGCCUU
rnacentral:rRNA from 1 species